rnacentral:ncRNA from 2 species
AUUCAUCUUCGGGGCAGGGUGAAAAUCCCGACCGGCGGUAAUAGAGUGCUAAACCGUUAAUGUUUAUUCAUUAACUCGAAUGGUUUAGGCAAAACUCUUUAGCCCGCGACCUGUGCAAAUUUAUUUGCAUGGCUGACUUGGUGAAAUUCCAAGGCCGACAGUUACAGUCUGGAUGGGAGAAGAUGGAG